UGCAAGUCGUGGGGCAGCAGGGGUAGCAAUACCCGCUGGCGACCGGCAAACGGGUGCGGAACACGUACACAACCUUCCUUAAAGUGGGGAAUAGCCCAGGGAAACUUGGAUUAAUACCCCGUAAUAUUGUGAAAUGGCAUCAUUUUAUAAUUAUAGCCUUCGGGCGCUUAAAGAUGGGUGUGCGGCUGAUUAGGUAGUUGGCGGGGUAACGGCCCACCAAGCCUACGAUCAGUAACUGGUGUGAGAGCACGACCAGUCACACGGGCACUGAGACACGGGCCCGACUCCUACGGGAGGCAGCAGUAAGGAAUAUUGGUCAAUGGACGCAAGUCUGAACCAGCCAUGCCGCGUGGAGGAUGAAGGUCCUCUGGAUUGUAAACUUCUUUUAUCUGGGAAGAAACCCAAGGUUUCUACUUUGGUUGACGGUACCAGAUGAAUAAGCACCGGCUAACUCCGUGCCAGCAGCCGCGGUAAUACGGAGGGUGCAAGCGUUAUCCGGAUUCACUGGGUUUAAAGGGUGCGUAGGUGGGCGAGUAAGUCAGUGGUGAAAUCUCCGGGCUUAACCCGGAAACUGCCAUUGAUACUAUUUGUCUUGAAUGUUGUGGAGGUAAGCGGAAUAUGUCAUGUAGCGGUGAAAUGCUUAGAUAUGACAUAGAACACCGAUAGCGUAGGCAGCUUACUACACAAUUAUGACACUGAGGCACGAAAGCGUGGGGAUCAAACAGGAUUAGAUACCCUGGUAGUCCACGCCCUAAACGAUGGAUACUCGAAUCAGCGAUACACUGUUGGUGUCUGGACGAAAGCAUUAAGUAUCCCACUGGGAAGUACGACCGCAAGGUUGAAACUCAAAGGAAUUGACGGGGGUCC
rnacentral:rRNA from 1 species